rnacentral:misc_RNA from 1 species
UACAGAGGUUCCGAGCGUUGUUCUGAUUUACUGGGCGUAAAGGGUGCGUAGGUGGCCGCGCAAGUCUGAUGUGAAAUCUCCGGGCUCAACCCGGAAACGGCAUUGGAAACUGCGGGGCUGGAGGAUCGGAGGGGGGACUGGAAUUCCCGGUGUAGCAGUGAAAUGCGUAGAUAUCGGGAGGAACACCAGUGGCGAAGGCGGGUCCCUGGACGAAUCCUGACACUGAGGCACGAAAGCUGGGGGAGCAAACCGG